GAGCUUCUCUUUGUGUGGCCUUUCCCAACUGAGGACUGACACUGUAGAGCCUAAGUCAUGGGAUUUGGACUCAAUGGCAUUUUCAUUCUGAUGAUUUUGCAAGGAGUCCAUUGUGAUAUUCAGCUGGUAGAGUCUGGGGGAGAUGUGAGACAGCCUGGAGGAUCCUUGAAAAUCUCCUGCAAAGCUUCUGGAUUCACCUUCAGUGACUAUAGCAUGAAUUGGGUCCGCCAGGCUCCAGGGAAAGGACUGGAGUGGGUCUCAUACAUUAGUUAUGAUGGCAGUAGCACAGGCUAUGCAGACUCUGUGAAAGGCCGAUUCACCAUCUCCAGGGACAAUGGCAACAGCCUGCUGCACCUGCAGAUGAAUUCCCUGAAAACUGAGGACACAGCCAUGUAUUACUGUGCAAGAGACACAGUGAGGGAGAGGAGUGAGAGAGCAGACAAAAACCACCUCUCAGAGAGUUCUGGUGGAGAAUGACAGAGAGGGAACUCCAGAACUCUGAGCACAAGGAGCCCAGUUACAACAACAGGUAAAGAGUGAGGCUGAUAAUUUUAUUUUCAAGGUCUGUGAUUGUCUCCCAAAUCCCUAUGAAUAUU